UACGUAGGGGGCAAGCGUUGUCCGGAAUCAUUGGGCGUAAAGCGCGUGUAGGCGGUUCGGUAAGUCGGCUGUGAAAGUCCAGGGCUCAACCCUGGGAUGCCGGUCGAUACUGCCGGACUAGAGUUCGGAAGAGGCGAGUGGAAUUCCCGGUGUAGCGGUGAAAUGCGCAGAUAUCGGGAGGAACACCAAUGGCGAAGGCAGCUCGCUGGGACGUUACUGACGCUGAGAUGCGAAAGCGUGGGGAGCAAACAGG
rnacentral:rRNA from 1 species